AAAGCCCUCUAUGCAUGAAUUGAACGCAAAUCAAUCACUUUAAUUAAGCUAAGCCCUUACUAGAUUGAUGGGCCUUAAACCCAUGAAAAUUUAAUUAACAGCUAAACACCCUAAUCAACUGGCUUCAAUCUACUUCUCCUGCUGUUGGG